CCCCUCUCAGGAUCACAACUGGAGAGUUUCCAGUACUCUACCAGUCUUGGCUAUGGGAGGGAGAGUCAAGCAGAAGCCUACCCAUUCCAUUCCUAGCUUGGGUAUUGGUUAGCGAGUGGAAGGCAAUCUGCUACAGGU